GUGCUUGCACCUUAUCUUAGCGGCGGCCCUUUGAGUGAUGCUUAGGAAUCUGCCUAUUAGUGGGGGACAACCUUUCGAAAGGAAUGCUAAUACCGCAUACGUCCUACGGGAGAAAGCAGGGGAUCUUCGGACCUUGCGCUAAUAGAUGAGCCUAAGUCGGAUUAGCUAGUUGGUGGGGUAAAGGCCUACCAAGGCGACGAUCUGUAGCGGGUCUGAGAGGAUGAUCCGCCACACUGGGACUGAGACACGGCCCAGACUCCUACGGGAGGCAGCAGUGGGGAAUAUUGGACAAUGGGGGGAACCCUGAUCCAGCCAUGCCGCGUGUGUGAAGAAGGCCUUAUGGUUGUAAAGCACUUUAAGCGAGGAGGAGGCUACUGAGACUAAUACUCUUGGAUAGUGGACGUUACUCGCAGAAUAAGCACCGGCUAACUCUGUGCCAGCAGCCGCGGUAAUACAGAGGGUGCGAGCGUUAAUCGGAUUUACUGGGCGUAAAGCGUGCGUAGGCGGCUUUUUAAGUCGGAUGUGAAAUCCCCGAGCUUAACUUGGGAAUUGCAUUCGAUACUGGGAAGCUAGAGUAUGGGAGAGGAUGGUAGAAUUCCAGGUGUAGCGGUGAAAUGCGUAGAGAUCUGGAGGAAUACCGAUGGCGAAGGCAGCCAUCUGGCCUAAUACUGACGCUGAGGUACGAAAGCAUGGGGAGCAAACAGGAUUAGAUACCCUGGUAGUCCAUGCCGUA
rnacentral:rRNA from 1 species